AACGAACGCUGGCGGCAUGCCUAACACAUGCAAGUCGAACGAGACCUUCGGGUCUAGUGGCGCACGGGUGCGUAACGCGUGGGAACCUGCCCUUAGGUUCGGAAUAACUCCCCGAAAGGGGUGCUAAUACCGGAUAAUGUCUUCGGACCAAAGAUUUAUCGCCUUUGGAUGGGCCCGCGUUGGAUUAGCUAGUUGGUAGGGUAAAAGCCUACCAAGGCGACGAUCCAUAGCUGGUCUGAGAGGAUGAUCAGCCACACUGGGACUGAGACACGGCCCAGACUCCUACGGGAGGCAGCAGUGGGGAAUAUUGAACAAUGGGAGAAAGCCUGAUCCAGCAAUGCCGCGUGAGUGAUGAAGGCCUUAGGGUUGUAAAGCUCUUUUACCCGGGAUGAUAAUGACAGUACCGGGAGAAUAAGCUCCGGCUAACUCCGUG
rnacentral:rRNA from 1 species